CAUUGAAACACUGGCUCUCAUCCGAUCACCAUUGUUAAGCAAUGUCGAGUCUGGUCAGUACGUAGAUGGGUGACUGCUUUGGAAUACCAGGUGCUGUAAG